AUUGAACGCUGGCGGCAUGCCUUACACAUGCAAGUCGAACGGUAACAGGUCUUCGGAUGCUGACGAGUGGCGAACGGGUGAGUAAUACAUCGGAACGUGCCCGAUUGUGGGGGAUAACGGAGCGAAAGCUUUGCUAAUACCGCAUACGAUCUACGGAUGAAAGCAGGGGACCGCAAGGCCUUGCGCGGACGGAGCGGCCGAUGGCAGAUUAGGUAGUUGGUGGGAUAAAAGCUUACCAAGCCGACGAUCUGUAGCUGGUCUGAGAGGACGACCAGCCACACUGGGACUGAGACACGGCCCAGACUCCUACGGGAGGCAGCAGUGGGGAAUUUUGGACAAUGGGCGCAAGCCUGAUCCAGCCAUGCCGCGUGCAGGAUGAAGGCCUUCGGGCUGUAAACUGCUUUUGUACGGAACGAAAAGACUCUUUCUAAUAAAGAGGGUCCAUGACGGUACCGUAAGAAUAAGCACCGGCUAACUACGUGCCAGCCGCCGCGGUAAGAC
rnacentral:rRNA from 1 species